rnacentral:rRNA from 1 species
GUCCUUACGAUAAAAUGUAAGGUUUGACCUGCCCACUGAAGUUUUAAAGGGCCGCGGUAACUUGACCGUGCGAAGGUAGCAUAAUCAAUAGUCUCUUAAUUGGAGGCUGGAAUGAAUGGUUGGACAAGGAGUGCGCUGUCUUAUUUGUAGAUGUUGAAUUUAACUUUUAAGUGAAAAGGCUUAAGUGGUUUAGCGGGGCGAUAAGACCCUAUAAAACUUUACAUUGAUAUAUUAAUUCUUGAAUUUGAGUUUAAAGUAUGUUAAUUUAUGUAUGUUACGUUGGGGCGACGAGAAUAUAAUAGUAACUGUUUCUUAGUUAGAAUAGAUAUAUUUAGAAAGCUUUGAUCCCUUAAUUGGGUUUAGAAGAAUAAGUUACUUUAGGGAUAACAGCGUUAUUUUUUCUGAGAGUUCCUAUCGACGAAAGUAGUUGCGACCUCGAUGUUGAAUUAAAGUUUCAGCGGGGUGUAGAAGUUCCGUUAGUGGGUCUGUUCGACCCUUAAAGCUUU